AUGCUGGCGGUCAUAUCUUUACUUUAUCGUUUUACUCUUUCUUUUUCUUCCUAUAAUAACGGUGGUGAUGAUGAUGAUGAUGAUGAUGAUGACGAUGAUGAUGAUAAUGAUGAGGAUAAUGAUGAUGUUAAUAUUAUGUAUUUUAUUGAAUCAACCUUACCUGCUCAUUAUUUUUAUCUUUCAGCCGAUCUCAGGUCAAGUAACUCAAGGUAGCGGGAUUAAAGUGAAGAUCUCCGAUAUGCCAUUUCCUGUACCAAAUGCGCAACAACUUAAUCAAAUUGUUUGGACAAUGUUAGGCACUGCUACUAAGGAAGCAAUUUAUUGUGUAUCCGAAGCACCUGUAUCACAAUUGCGUUUUGUUUGUGUUGAUUGUUAUCAAAAAAAUAUCACAGAUAUGGUUAAUGUUUUAAGUAGUGCUCAAGAUCUUACACGUGAAGCUGGUUUCCCUACUGUAGCAUUACGUGGUAUAGCAGUAAACACAAAUUGGACAGGUGCAACAAUCAUGUGUCAAGCAGCACUAAAUGGUGGUACCAUUGAUUCAGCUCCAGCUAUAAUCGAUGUACGAUACCUGAAACAACCACAUGUAGUUGAUACAUCAGGUCAAGGACCAAUACUAAUUGCUAAUCAGGGUUAUCGAUUUUUUGUUGAAUGUAUACGCACAAAUAAUGGAUUAUGUCAACAAAAUGGUCGACGAAAAACAUUACGUUGUGCGGUACAAUCUCAUCCACCAGCUACCAUAUUUAGGUGGCUUAAAAAUGGCAUUGUUGUUAGUGGUAAUGGUGCCGAUAUUACAAUUGGUACAGAAAUGAUUGGUCAAUCAAUUCAAUGUUCGGCUAAUAAUGGUCUUUUUUCGGACGGUGAAAUGCCCACUUCACAAGCUGUACAAAUUGAUCCCUAUACAGCAGCACGAUUGGUACAGGAUAAUUUUCAAGCAAUGCAAAAUGUAGCACCAUUUCAAAGUGGCAGUCGUAUUGAUAUGAAUCAGCAGAUUAACUUAGGUUGCCAGGUGGAAGGUAAUCCACGACCGGUUGUUUUCUGGAAAUUGAAAAAAUCAAGUGGUCAGGUAGUUGAUGCAGCUUGUCCACAAGGUUUCGAAGGGCAAUAUCAGGAAGCACCAUUAGAACAACGCACUAAUAUUCGUCUUAAUGCAAUUUGCUCAUUACGAAUAGCAAAUUAUACAUUUUCGGGACAGUACUGGUGUGCUGCAUGUUCAUUUGUAUCACAAGGUGCACCAGAAUGUUCACCAUCACUUGAUUCACCUGGUACUACCUAUUUAAAUGUACAAGUGCAAGGACCACCAACUCAGUCGGAUACUUUACCUUCCGUUCAAAAGCUUCCCAGUUCAGACAGUGCGGUUGUUGUGGUUCAUUAUUGUGCGGAACCAUUACCUAAGCUACCCCGUGAUAUCGUCUUUUCGGUCGAUCAAAAUGAGCUACAAAUUGGACAAACAUGGCAAAAUUUCCGAUUUGAAAGUACCACCCAGAAUAACACCGUACCAAACUGUCAUCUAGCAAAAUUACUCAUUUCACCGAUAUCUGAUACAGAUACCAAUCGACAAGUGGUUUUAAAAGUUCAAAAUACAUAUGGCAGUAAACACAUUACUGUACCACUUGGUGCUUUAUUUGGUGGUCAGUCAACAACAAUGAGUUCAUUCCCAAGCUGGUUUAUGGCACUAUUAAUGAUGAUAAUUUUUGGUGUAUCACUAUCAUUAUUAAUAAUGUUUUGUAUCAAAAAGAGUUUAUUCUGUUUUGGAAAAGUGAAACCGACAGUAAAUUCUUAUGAUGACAAAAAGAAAAAAACGAAUAUGCGUGAAACGUACCGAGAAGAUGGUCCUCGGUCAUUGUAUCAAGCAUCCGGUCAACCAGUCGAGUGUCCGCUAGAUUAUGAGUCAGCCGUGCAAGCAGCUUAUUGUGAUUCUCGAAUGUCCUCUGUUUAA
rnacentral:misc_RNA from 1 species